UGAUCCAGCAAUUUCCUAUUGCAUAUAGAUCCAAAAAAAGGAAAUCAAAAUAUUGAAGAAACAUAUACUAUGUUUAUUACAGCACUAUUAACAAUGGGCAAAACAUGGAAUCAACCUAUCAAUUAUCUAUUGAUGUGCCCAUCAGUAGAUAAAUGAAGGAAGAAAAUGUGGUAUGUAUACAAAAUAGAAUGUUAUUCAGUCAUUCGCAGCAACAUGGAUAGAACUGGAGGUCAUUGUGUUAAAUAAAAUAAACCAAGCACAGAAAGAUUAUAUAUUACAUGUCCACUCAUAUGUGAGAGCUAAAAAUGUGAAGCUUCUAAAAAUAUCAAGUAGAUUGGUGGUUACCAGAGGCCACGAAGGGUAGGGAGAAGAAGGGAUUGAAGAUGGGUUGAUUAAUGGGCAUAAACAGUUUGAUAAAAGAAAUACCUAGUUUUAUAGAUCAGUAGAGUGACUAUAGUUUUCAAUAAUCUAGUGUAUCUUUCACAAUAGCUAGAAGAGAAUAAUUCAAAUGUUUCUAGCAUAAAUAAAAGACAAAUAUUUAAGGUGACGCAUAUCCCAAUUAUACUAAUUUAAUCUUUACAAAUGAUAUGAGUAUGUUAAACUAUUUCAUGCACCUCCAAAAUAUGUACAUUCAUUGUGUAUUAAUAACAAAAUAAAUAUUAAAGAAAAAAUAAUUCCAUACAUUUUAUUCCACAUUCAGAACAUUUUUUCUUCCUAAUUAUAGACCUAAUGUUAAAUAUUCUCAUUCUGUUUUCUUGUUUUUACUCCUCUUUGUAACACCUCUUUUUUAAUGCUGAAACAAAGCAACCUUACUCUGAUUUCACACUCUGAUUUUAAUCCCUCUGCUUUGGGGCUGAAUAAUACUUCAGUUUUGCCUUUGUCUUGGACGUCACCCCCAACCUGCCUUUUCCUUAGGUUUCCUCUUUACCUACUCCAAUAUUUUACAUAUUAAAAUUACCUUUCUUUGUUCCGGAUUAUUAUUGUAUUUUGUGCCCAGUAUCGUAUUCUAUUGCCAAUUUUCGUCAAACAUUAUCCCUCAAAAUUCACUGUUUUUAUUUUAAGGGUAAGUAUGGCUCCACCCUCUAUUUUAAAUAUUAUGAGACUAUUGCAGGGUUUUUUUAUGUUAGGUUUCCUGACUAUCUCUCAAAGAUAACAAAAAAUUCUAAUUUUCUACUUAUUGGUUUCAACCUAUGAUUAUAACUGAAUCUCUUCUUCUGACUUUCUGGCAUAGUUCUACAGUCCUAAAUUUCUUCAUUCACAACUUCUUUGAAAAUUAAAUAUAGUAUAUUAAUUUUUCUUACCUGACUUCUUAUAUCACUGUUUAUUUUUGAAUUUGUAUGUUGGUGCCACAAAGUUCUGACAUCAAGUGUAAUAACACAUUUUCAUCUUAAUUAUACCCAGACAUUUCUCUUUCUCUCUUAUUUUUUGUUUUAGUUUUAAAUAUUACCUUAGGUAAAACAUUUUAGAUGUUUUUUAUAAAACUAAAAUAUAAAUUGCCUUCUUAAAUGUUACCCCUUCUUUUUAUGUGACACGUAGGAAUUAUUUUUUCUUCAAUUCCAAAUUAUUGCAUAAUUUUUCUGACUACACUUUUUCUUGUUUUAGUCUGUUACAAAGAAUUACCUGCAACUGGAAAAUAUAUAAAGCAGAAACUUAUUUUAUUUUAUUCCACAUUCAGAACAACAUUUUUUCUUUCUAAUUACAGACCUAAUGUUAAAUAUUCCCAUCCUGUUUUCUUGUUUUUACCCCUCUUUAAUUUUUGAAAAAUAAGCAAUGGGGCUGGGCAUGGUGGCUCAUGCCUAUAAUCCCAGGACUUUGGGAGAGUGAGGUGGGUGGAUCAUGAGGUCAGGAGUUCGAGACCAGACUGAACAACAUGGUGAAACACUGUCUCUACUAAAAAUAUAAAAAAAUAGUCAGGCGUGGUGGCGUGCGCCCGUAAUCCCAGUUACUCAGGAGGCUGAAGCAGGAGAAUCACUUGAACCCGGGAGGCAGAAGUUGCAGUGAGCCGAGAUUGCGCCACCACACUCCAUCCUGAGUAACAGAGCGAGACUCCAUCUUGGAAAAAACAAAACAAAACAAAACAAAAACAAGGAAAAUAAGCAAUGGAAAAAGGACUCCCUGUUAAAUAAAGGGUGCUGAGAUAACUGGCUAGCUAUAUGCAGAAGAAUGAAACUGGAUUCCUACCUAUCACCACAUACAAAAACUAACCAAUGAUAGAUUAAAGGUUUAAAUGUAAGACCUCAAACUAUUAAAGUCCUGGAAGAAAACCUAGGACAUACUGUUUGGCACAACCUUAGCAAAGAAUUUAUGACUGAGUCCUCAAAAGCAACUGCAACAAAAACAACAACUGACAAGUGAGACCUAACUAAACUAAAGAGCUUCUGCACAGCAAAAGAAACUAGCAACAGAGUAAACACACAACCUAUAGGCUGGAAGAAAGGAUUUGCAAACUGUGCAUCCAACAAGGUCUAGUAUCCAGAAUCUGUAAGGAACUUCAAUUCAAUGAGCAAGAAACAAAUAACCCCACUAAAGAGCAGGCAAAGGACAUGAACAGA
rnacentral:lncRNA from 1 species